rnacentral:antisense_RNA from 1 species
GGAAGCGGGACGUACCAAGGGGCAGGCGGCGGAAGGGUGCGGGCCGGAACUCCGCCCUUCGUGCUGGUCGGUCUCCACGCCCCACUCGGGCUAGUGUCACCGCCUCCCCGCCGCAGACACCGUGCGACAAAGGAGGGGGAAUCAAAGGCUGGGCGAAGAGGCAGGGCAGGCGCCGCUGUCGCUGCUGGGCAAGCGGGCUCUGCAGUAGCAUUUGUGGCGACCGUGGCAGUGGCUGUGACUGGAAGCUUUUGGAAAUGGCGGCGGCGAUGAAGACCCCCACAUAGGGAUGGCCACAGCAGCCACAAAAGGAAGCAAACAAGAACAAGUCCUGAUGGAGCAAUUUAUGAAGACAGGCAGCAUAGAGGGAGAAGAACCUGUCUGUCAACCCCACACACGCUUUCCCACACGUCUCCUGAAAGCUGAGCAUUUGGUAUCUCAAAGCCUCUUACCAGUUUGGAGAGAUAUGGAUCUUCUAAAAUUAAUAAGCUCCUUAAUAUCGACACUGUUUAUCAACACAAAGGACCAAUUUAGGAAGAUUAUAAAAACUGAAGUUUCCGGAACAAUAAAUGGGAGAAUUAAUCUUCUAAAUCAAGGAUGUAUCCCUGAAUCUGGGGAGCUCUCUAUCAAAAUAUACAUGCUGGAACCCUACCAAAGGAAUAAUAAAUCUGGAAUGAGGCCCUGACUGUCUAAUUAGGAAAAGACUCCUUCCUGGAAUUCUGCACAUCUCCCUACACCUUAGUGAUGGUUAAAUAAAUAAUUAUUAAGCUUCUGGA